ensembl:lncRNA
CUGCAAUCAUAAAUCUAGUCAUCCAACCAUGAUGCUGUCUUUUUGUUCACUCCAGUUGCUCCUUCUAUUGUCUUGCUGGGUUCUUCUGAACAUGAUUUGGAGAAAUUUAGUGGAUUUUGAUGUGAGAGGACAACAGUGGAUGGACUUUUUCAUGGAGGAUGUUUCACAAUGCACCACUCGCAUUGUGGCCAGAAGUUACAUUUAAAGUUAAAACACCUUAAUGAUGCAUUUGUUUCUUACAAAGACACAACUUUUCACUUCUCAAGAUGUUAACUGAAGGACAUGUGAUAGCUGUGUGGAUUAUUGUGAUUCUUUUAUCAGCUGUUUGAACUCUCCUUCUGACGGCACCCAGUCAUUGCAGAGGAUCGACUAAGUAAUGUAUUCUUCGUUAAAUAAUAUGCCGUUCCAUGUUUUCAUUUUAAAAUUCUUAUAUAAUUUCACAGCUUUUUCCAAGUGUUUUCAGUUUUCAGAAGAUUCGAUUAACAGCUUUGCUUUCUCAUUACUAAUGCAUAUUCUCCCGUUUUUUCCUUGGCCCCAAGACCCUCAUUAGCUAUGGAAGGUCUGCCGUAUCCAGCCUACCUGACCCCGGACCACCUGCUCUGUAGCUUGCUCUCGCUGCUCAUCUGUUUGUUUCCCACCAAGCCUGUCAUCAUCAUAGGUAUCGUUUGGAUUAGCAUUCUGCUAAAAGAUCCAAAAGAUGUGACUCAGCCUUGCCCCCUGGAAACCAUUUUGCUUGUAAAUCUCCAGGUAUUUACAUUAUGUCAUGUUUCCUAAAAAUAUUUCAAGAAUCAGAGAGCCAGACAUCAGGUUCUGUGAGUUAACUUAGUGUUUUAACUUGGUGCUUAUUGCCCUUUGCCACCCUUCCAAGUAUGGUUUGGUAGUUGUUUCUAAUUGUAAUUUCACAGAUUUUAUUAUAUAAGGAUCCAACAACAUUGUCAUGAGUUCAACUCCUGCAGUACCUCCCGUUCACCACCAGUAUCCUGAAUUUUAACCCCUGUUCAUGGACUCCAUUUCCCACAAGCCCACGUACUUGGAACUCGUUACCCUCUCACCUGUUGCCCAUCACUGGGACUAUUUAAGUCGUGCACUUUAGCUUAUUUGUUGUGAAGUCUUGUUCUUGCUAUGGCUGACAACUUGGAGUGUUCUUUAUUUGGUUUGCCUUUCUUGUGUAUAAUCCUUGACUGUUUUCUCACUUUUGAUUCUCUGCUGCCUGCCUGUUGUUUUUGCCUGGGCAAUGUUUGUGAUUGUUGAGCUGCCUGCCCCGUCCCAUUGCCUGUGUACUGACUUUGAAACUGUUUUGUCUUGGAUAUUGUUUUGCUGGAGAUUGACCCUGCCUGUUUGCACUCUGAUGAACCUUUUUAAUAAAGCUGCAAAUGGAUCUCA